UUUUAGUCUUUAUUUUAUGUCUUUAGGGUUAUUUUUUUGGUUUGAGAAACAUGGUGAAAACAAUUGACGAUCGUCCAUAACGUCUUCAGGGUUCCUUUUUCAAAAACGUGGUAAAAAGAAUGUAGGCCAUUUACAAAAGCAUUCGAAUAUCAAAAGGGUUGAAAGCAGUUACUAUAGGAAUGGGAAAGAAUAUUUCGUUAGUUAAGCAUUCUAAUUUUGAUGCUAGGUAAGAAAAGAGACUGAGCCAGAACUGAGAAUACUAAUUUAGUGAGUGGAAAUCUUUGUAUCUAGAGUUGAAAAACCUUUAUAUGGAUGAAGAAUCAUGUAACAAAACAAAAACAAACUCCAAGUACAAAGAGACUGAAAGUAAAAAGUGGGUUUUUCACGUAAAAAGAAAAUAACUGUUCUGCAUUAUACUUCUGAAGAGUACUUUGAACCUUAAGUAGGAAAAUAAGAUUAAAAUAACGUAAACCACAGUCUAAUGUACUUACUUAGUUUUAAUAUGACCCACGAAUGAGUGCAAAAAAUUAACUUAAGUAUCUAUCAUGAGUCAUGAUGAGCUUGUUACAAUUCUGAGCAGACUAUAAGUAGGAAUGUUUGAUGGUCAGAGAUCAAUGACUCUAACAGUACCAACACAGGUACAGUCAAGGUUUUUCUAGUUCCCAGAUGAUGACAAAUGUGUUACUAGUUGUGAAAUAUUGUGUUAGUAAUAGAUAAUAGACGUCAUUGUUACGUUAGCAUACACGCACUGUUUUGAACAAUUUUGUCUUUCUUCAGUACAAAAUAUUUGUUUGUUCUACUAAAAUUAAUUGGGAAGUAGGUUACUCUCAAUUGUCACGCUUUUGCGGAAAAACAGUUGAAGAACCUAUCUAUUGUAACCAGAUGAUAUUUGUAAUGCGUUUGUGUGAUGACUGUGGCCAAAUAAUUAGAUUCAAAGACUUACGGUGAAUUUGAACCCACGGGAAAGACCCAGCUAUAUUAUACGAUCAGUCGAUCACUCUUAUAGUAGUUAGACGUGGUGUUUCCGUAGACCGUGAAUGUUUUGCAAAAAAAUUCAAACAGGUUUGGUCCCCUCAGAUUUUAAUUUUCAAGGCCAUAUUUAAUGGUCUAUAACGAAACCCUUUGCAUGUGAGUAUCGUGUACUUAGUUUCGAAAACUGUGGGCUGCUUGUAAUGUUAAGGAAUUUAUGCCCGUUUUCACCAACAACCUCUUACCGUUUCCCUAUCUAAAAGCUACUUUUAAUAAGGACCCCUCCCAAUUUGACACCUACCUAAAUUCAUUUUCACCACACUUGUACAUGGAUCCCUUAAGUAAGUGACAGAUUACUAGUUCUACAAACGAUAAUGCAAAGUCGAUAUUUUAUCGAUAAAAUGAUUUUUCUCUACUUCUUAAGAAAUAAACGUCUAUCGAGUAUAUAUUACUAAAGCCUGUGAGUUUUUUUCAUGGUGAUGUUAUUUUAAUUUAACUUAAACUACAUUACGCUAUGUUUUAUGCAAUAAAACAGUAAAGAGGUUUUCUAUAGGUGAAUUUUUACCUAUGUCAUUCGCGCGUUUGUCAAAUUGACUGAUGUGUAUGUAUACAUAGAGUGAGAUUAAUUUUGGGUUUAUUAUUGUUGAAUAGAUAAGUUUAUUUUGGCAGAGAAGAGAAAACGAAGAUAAACCUUUCUUGCAGAAGGAAAAGACAAGCUAGUGAAAUUGCUGACGUCUCAUAGAGACACAAUAUUAAACAAAAAACGGAUGGGACCACGAACGAAGCCAAAAACAAAGCUUGGAUCCAGUUACAAAUAGUUUUAAUGCGAUAGGAACCGUUUACAGUUUCAGGUGGUGCGAGAAAUUGGAAAGACGUGUAAAAACAUGCUGCGCCCAGCCCACCUCAAAUUGAAUUGGUGCAGGAGGAUGAUGAUAAUGUUUGGUACAUCAUAUGAGGACUAAUAUUAAAAUAUUUGUUUAC